rnacentral:piRNA from 1 species
UGCAUUGGCGUAUUUGUGAUGAAGUAUGU